AACUCCUAUUUCAUUUUAUCAUUAUCCCCAUUUACAGAGGAUGACACUGUGCUUAGACAGCUGAGAUAAUUUACCCCUGAUCGUAAGCAAAUGGUGGAGCAAGGCCAGUAUUUUUACUAGGUCUAUCUGAGUUCAUAAUAAUCUCUUCAUACACAUUACUAUUUCUCUAUUUCAGACAUUUGCUUUUUAAAACAGCUGUCCAUAAAAGCUCUGAAGUUUUCAAAUCUCAGCUAUUUUCUAAUUAAAAUUUGUGUUGUUAAUAAAUUUAUAAAUUUAACAUGAAGGAGAAUUUUUUUAGAAAAAGAAAAUGUAAUGGUGUGUACAUGUCUAGAACAUAAUGCUGCUUCUCAGCGGGGUCUUUCUUUUUUCUAUAAUUUUGCAUCUUCACUACUCCAUCAGCCAUUGUUCAUCUUGUCUUAAUCUACAAUUUCCUGCAAGUAUUAGCAUAUGCAUUUGUCAGUCUGCUUAUAAGCUUUUAUUUUUAUCUUUUACAAUUUGAUACAUAGUUGACUUAUGGUGUAAGUUUAAUAUAUACACCAUAAUCAUUCAGUACAUGUAUAAAAUUGGAUUUUUCUUCCUAACAUUUUCUGAGUCUUAUUUCUGGUCAACUCAGCUCUCUAAUUUUAUACCACCAGGAUGAAAGAAUGUGAGCAGGUGACGUGCAGUAUUCUCUCUCUCUCUUUUCCUUGUAUGACAGCUAAUCAGUUAAGAAGCAGAAAGUGGCCGGUGCAUUUUAUUGUCUCAGGCCUGCUUUUCCAUUUUUGUGAGGAUGCUCUGCGCUCUUUGGACCUCUGUGUGUUCACGUCUGAGAGUGGGGGUCUGUGUGUGGACACGUAGCGCCCGCAUUACCAGCACGUCCUGAAGUGCACACUUUAUCCUCCCCCUGCUGGGUCCAUCUCAAAUUCAUGUCUGGGAGUCCAGGAUCUGAAAACACUUGAAGUGUCUGAAUAUGCAGACAAUCCAGAGAUGGCUCAUAGGCCCAGGAAAUGCCUGGAGAUAAUGAAAGAAUCAGUCUAGCUUCUAUCUGCCAGAGUUUUCAAUGGACCAUUUAGUUACCAAGGAACAGGUCAAGUAUGAGCAAAAAAGAACAGCAUAUGGAAGCACAGCAUUCUAGCAUAGUAAAAAGGAAAACUCCUGAGAAAACCAAAUUUUUAGGCUCUACUACUGAACUUAUGAAUGUAAUAUGAAUUUAAAUUGAUAUGACUUUACUGAUACGAAUUCAGAUUUAAAAUAUGAAUUUAGGUGGGUUCCUCAAGCUCUAUAUAGUAAAGCAAUGGUAAUGCCUUUGACUAUAAGCUCCUCGAGGAUCAGGACAGCAUCUUAUAAAUCACUGUAUUGCAUAAUAACAACUUCGAAAAACAUCAACAUGUCAUAUAAGGAUUUUAAUCUUUUUGACCAAGUAUUCCUUCAAAAUAAUUUUGAAAAAAAUGUACUCUAAUCUAUAUCUUAAUUUUUCAUUAUGUCUUCAUAAGGAUAUAAUUUUCUCUAUAUCAUAAAUGUUGAUUCUACAUAAAAGUGUUAUAUCACACUUUCAAUUGUAUGCAGUAAAAUAUAAACAUCAUAGCAAAUUAAAAUUCACUGAUAUCCAUUUAAACAGUAGAAGUACAAGCUCAGUUUUAAGAGAUGGGAAUUUUAAGGUGUUAGUUUUCUUCUUAAAAUUUUCCUUCUGGUUCAGUUCCCCCCCCCCACGUAAUUAUUAUUGGUCCACAACGUUCGAAAAACAUUAAUGUAUUUAAAAUGUUUAUGACUGCUAAAGAUUUAUAUGAAACACGUCUCAAUUAAGUGAAGAGGUGCUGCCAGUGAUGUUGAAUUAAGGAGAAUUCAGGCUUCUCCUCAUGAAGACCAUUCCUGACCCCCUGGACCUGGUUAGACCUGCUCAGUUUAAUUCUAUUGAGCCAUCAGUAAGCGAAAGAGAGUAAGAGCUGACAGAAAUGCAGCUAGGAAAGAGAAGUCAUAACAAAAAACAGUGGCCAAAUAAAGCAUAGUUAGAACAAGAAAUGAUUUACUACAGUUGCAUGAUUUUGGAGAUUGAAGUUUCAGCAGAAGACAGUUAAUGGAAGUUAGAUUGGAGAGAAUAUUAAAGAAGGGUCGUGGAAAAGGAGAGGCAGUAAAUGAAAAGAAAAAUUCCAUGAAAUUGGGGUAUGUGAGCUUGGUGGGGGGGGGGGGUUAUGGUGACUGCUCCAAGCAGUGCCACAUCAUCGUUAAUGGAUGAAUGAAAGGCUUUCUAAGAUGUUAUAAGAAGCCAGCUGGAACUGGAGUUCCUGUUUUGGCUCAGCGCAUCAAGAACCCAGCAUAGUCUCUGUGAGCAUGCAGGUUUGAUCCCUGGCCUCCUCAGGGUUAAGCAGCCAGCACUUCCACAAGCUGCAGUGUAGGUCGCAGAUACGGCUCAAAUCUGGUAUUACUGAGGCUGUGGCCUAGGCCUGCAUCUGUAACUCUGAUUUGACCCCCUAGUCCGAGAACUUUCAUAUGCCACUGGUGUGGCUGAAAAAAUAAAAAAAUAAAAA
rnacentral:lncRNA from 1 species